AGGAAGUUUGAAAAAACGGCAACUGCCGCCCGCAAUGUCUCGGUCGUGGGUUCGUUAUCCAGUUGUGCGUCAUUCUAAGCCGUUCUCUACAUUUAUACUGGAUAUUAACUGGAGUCAUUUAGCUGUGCUGAUGCUGUUUGCCGGGUGUUUUGCAUCAGUGCUUCGUUACAUCGGCUGUAUUGCGUGUUUUCGCCGACGGCUUACUACCACAAUGGCGGGAUCUGCGUUCGCCGCCUUCGUGUCUCGGUGCGUCUUUGUACGUCGCACGUUCGGAUAACACUUUUUCCGACGGCUGGACAUCCUUCUUGUACCGUGGCGCUAGGUGGAUGACGGGACCUCAUCAUGAUCAGUGUAUUGCUUGCCUAUGUCUACAAGAACCGUCACGCGUGGCCUGUGACAGCAAGCUUUUGUGGGCAGCAAGUGCUCUCCUACGAAGGCUGGCCUACUCUGGCAGCGGCGGCAAUCAUCUUCAAGAUUUAUCCAUGAUCACCUUUGCUGCUAUUUGUCACUCUUGUUAAUUACACUUUCGGCAUCUUUUCUAAUUUAUUAGGUAAUAAAGUAUGAGUAUGU
rnacentral:lncRNA from 1 species